CUAGAUUCUACGGGUGGUGGUGCAUGGCCAUUCUUAGUUGGUGAAGCAAUUUAUUUGAUUAAUUUGGUUAACGAACGAGACCUCAGUCUCCUAACUAGCUAUGCCAAUGUAACCCUUUGUGGCCAGCUUCUUAGAGGGACUACGACCUUUUAGGUCGUGGAAGUUUGAGAAAAUAAUAGGUCUAUGGUGCCCUUAGAUGUUCUGGGCCACAAGCGUGCUUCAUUGAUGUAUUCAACGAGUUUAUAGCCUUGGUCGACAGGUCCGGGUAAUCUUUGAAAUUUCAUCGUGAUGGGGAUAGAUCAUUGUAAUUGUUGGUCUUCAACGAGGAAUUCCUAGUAAGCGUAAGUCAUCAGUUCAUGUUGACUACAUCCCUAUCCUUUAUACAUAAUGCCAAUCAUUCUUACUGAUUUAAUGUUCUAGUGAAGUGUUCAUAUCACAUCGACGUGGGCAGUUUGCUGCCCUCGACAUCAUGAGAAGUCCACUAAACCUUAUCAUUUAGA
rnacentral:lncRNA from 1 species